UACGUAGGGUGCAAGCGUUGUCCGGAAUUAUUGGGCGUAAAGAGCUCGUAGGCGGUCUGUCGCGUCUGCUGUGAAAACUCGGGGCUUAACCCCGGGCCUGCAGUGGGUACGGGCAGACUAGAGUGCGGUAGGGGAGACUGGAAUUCCUGGUGUAGCGGUGAAAUGCGCAGAUAUUAGGAGGAACACCGGUGGCGAAGGCGGGUCUCUGGGCCGUAACUGACGCUGAGGAGCGAAAGCAUGGGGAGCGAACAGG
rnacentral:rRNA from 1 species